rfam:Myotis brandtii contig273856, whole genome shotgun sequence.
CUGUCUAUUGCUUCAACAGUGUUUGGAUGGAACAG